rnacentral:tRNA from 1 species
GCACCCUUGGCUCAACUGGAUAGAGUACCUGACUACGAAUCAGGCGGUUGCAGGUUCGAAUCCUGCAGGGUGC